rnacentral:rRNA from 1 species
AUUGAACGCUGGCGACAUGCCUUACACAUGCAAGUCGAACGGUAACAGGUCUUCGGAUGCUGACGAGUGGCGAACGGGUGAGUAAUACAUCGGAACGUGCCCGAUCGUGGGGGAUAACGGAGCGAAAGCUUUGCUAAUACCGCAUACGAUCUACGGAUGAAAGCAGGGGACCGCAAGGCCGUGCGCGAACGGAGCGGCCGAUGGCAGAUUAGGUAGUUGGUGGGAUAAAAGCUUACCAAGCCGACGAUCUGUAGCUGGUCUGAGAGGACGACCAGCCACACUGGGACUGAGACACGGCCCAGACUCCUACGGGAGGCAGCAGUGGGGAAUUUUGGACAAUGGGCGCAAGCCUGAUCCAGCAAUGCCGCGUGCAGGAUGAAGGCCUUCGGGUUGUAAACUGCUUUUGUACGGAACGAAAAGGCUCUGGUUAAUACCUGGGGCUCAUGACGGUACCGUAAGAAUAAGCACCGGCUAACUACGUGCCAGCAGCCGCGGUAAAAC